rnacentral:lncRNA from 1 species
UGCCAGAAACUAUAAAAAUAGAAGUAUACAGUAUACCUUUCACCAGCAAUUCCACCUUCAGAAGCAAUAAAUUAUUCAGGCAAACAUGUGAAUAUGUAUGAACAAAACCUUUUCCUGAAGCUUUGUUUAGUGGAAAAUAUAAUGAAUUUAGAUGUCAUUUAAAGCUCUGGCUGAAAAUCCAAUUGGAUAUGUCUGAUUAUCAGUUUGGAAGAGACUAUAAAGAAUUUAAAAUGAAAUAGCUGAUAAUGGUUACCAGAGGCUGGGAAGGACAGGGGCAUUGGGUAUGAUAAAGGGAUGGUUAAUGGGUACCAAAAUUCAGUUAGAUAGAAGAAAUAAGGUUUAGUGUUCAGUAACACAAUAGGGCCAACUAUGGUUAAUAAUAAUUAAUUGUGUAUAUCAAAAUAUCUACAAUAGUGGAAUUAGAAAGUUCCUAAUAUAAAUAAAUGAUAAAUACUUGAAGUGAUGAAUAUCCUAAUUACCUUGAUUUGAUCUUCAUAUGCUUAUAUCAAAAUUUCACAUGCACCCCAGAUAUAUGUACAACCAUUAUGUAUCCAUAAUAAUUAAAAAUAAAAAAAAGAAAUGGCUAAUGACAAAAUUUUAGAAAAUUUAAGAUGAAAUUUAAGAU